rnacentral:rRNA from 1 species
GACGAACGCUGGCGGCGUGCCUAAUACAUGCAAGUUGAGCGCUGACGGCUGGUCCUUGUACCAACUGGUUGAGCAGCGGACGGGUGAUUAACGCGUGGUCAAUCUGCCUUUGCGCGGGGGACACCAUUUGGAAACGAAUGCUAAUACCGCAUAAAAUAUUUAAACACAAGGUUUAAGUUUGAAAGAUGCAAUUGCAUCACUCAAAGAUGAUCCCACGUUGUAUUCGCUAGUUGGUGAGGUAAAGGCUCACCAAGGCUAGGAUACUUAGCCGACCUGAGAGGGUGAUCGGCCACCUUGGGAGUGAGACACGGCCCAAACUCCUGCGGGAGGCAGCAGUCGGGACUCUUCGGGAAUGGACGAAUGUGUGACCGAGCAACGCCGCGGGAGUGAAGAAGGUGCUCGGAUCGUAAAGCGCUGUUGGUAGUGAAGAUCGUAGGUGAGAGUGGAAAGCACAUUAAGGACAGUUACCGAACCAUAAACGCCCGCUAACUUCCGG